rnacentral:rRNA from 1 species
UUGAACGCUGGCGGCAGGCCUAACACAUGCAAGUCGAACGGUAACAGGAAACAGCUUGCUGUUUCGCUGACGAGUGGCGGACGGGUGAGUAAUGUCUGGGAAACUGCCUGAUGGAGGGGGAUAACUACUGGAAACGGUAGCUAAUACCGCAUAACGUCGCAAGACCAAAGAGGGGGACCUUCGGGCCUCUUGCCAUCGGAUGUGCCCAGAUGGGAUUAGCUUGUUGGUGGGGUAACGGCUCACCAAGGCGACGAUCCCUAGCUGGUCUGAGAGGAUGACCAGCCACACUGGAACUGAGACACGGUCCAGACUCCUACGGGAGGCAGCAGUGGGGAAUAUUGCACAAUGGGCGCAAGCCUGAUGCAGCCAUGCCGCGUGUAUGAAGAAGGCCUUCGGGUUGUAAAGUACUUUCAGCGGGGAGGAAGGGAGUAAAGUUAAUACCUUUGCUCAUUGACGUUACCCGCAGAAGAAGCACCGGCUAACUCCGUGCCAGCAGCCGCGGUAAUACGGAGGGUGCAAGCGUUAAUCGGAAUUACUGGGCGUAAAGCGCACGUAGGCGGUUUGUUAAGUCAGAUGUGAAAUCCCCGGGCUCAACCUGGGAACUGCAUCUGAUACUGGCAAGCUUGAGUCUCGUAGAGGGGGGUAGAAUUCCAGGUGUAGCGGUGAAAUGCGUAGAGAUCUGGAGGAAUACCGGUGGCGAAGGCGGCCCCCUGGACGAAGACUGACGCUCAGGUGCGAAAGCGUGGGGAGCAAACAGGAUUAGAUACCCUGGUAGUCCACGCCGUAAACGAUGUCGACUUGGAGGUUGUGCCCUUGAGGCGUGGCUUCCGGAGCUAACGCGUUAAGUCGACCGCCUGGGGAGUACGGCCGCAAGGUUAAAACUCAAAUGAAUUGACGGGGGCCCGCACAAGCGGUGGAGCAUGUGGUUUAAUUCGAUGCAACGCGAAGAACCUUACCUGGUCUUGACAUCCACGGAAGUUUUCAGAGAUGAGAAUGUGCCUUCGGGAACCGUGAGACAGGUGCUGCAUGGCUGUCGUCAGCUCGUGUUGUGAAAUGUUGGGUUAAGUCCCGCAACGAGCGCAACCCUUAUCCUUUGUUGCCAGCGGUCCGGCCGGGAACUCAAAGGAGACUGCCAGUGAUAAACUGGAGGAAGGUGGGGAUGACGUCAAGUCAUCAUGGCCCUUACGACCAGGGCUACACACGUGCUACAAUGGCGCAUACAAAGAGAAGCGACCUCGCGAGAGCAAGCGGACCUCAUAAAGUGCGUCGUAGUCCGGAUUGGAGUCUGCAACUCGACUCCAUGAAGUCGGAAUCGCUAGUAAUCGUGGAUCAGAAUGCCACGGUGAAUACGUUCCCGGGCCUUGUACACACCGCCCGUCACACCAUGGGAGUGGGUUGCAAAAGAAGUAGGUAGCUUAACCUUCGGGAGGGCGCUUACCACUUUGUGAUUCAUGACUGGGGUG